rnacentral:rRNA from 1 species
AGCCCAACGAGAUCGGGAUAACACCUGGAAACAGAUGCUAAUACCGGAUAACAACAGAUGAUGCCUAUCAACUGUUUAAAAGAUGGUUCUGCUAUCACUCUUGGAUGGACCUGCGGUGCAUUAGCUAGUUGGUAGGGUAACGGCCUACCAAGGCGAUGAUGCAUAGCCGAGUUGAGAGACUGAUCGGCCACAUUGGGACUGAGACACGGCCCAAACUCCUACGGGAGGCAGCAGCG